CCUACGGGCGGCAGCAGUGGGGAAUAUUGGACAAUGGGGGCAACCCUGAUCCAGCCAUGCCGCGUGUGUGAAGAAGGCCCUCGGGUUGUAAAGCACUUUCAGUGAGGAAGAACGCCUGGUGGUUAAUACCCAUCAGGAAAGACAUCACUCACAGAAGAAGCACCGGCUAACUCCGUGCCAGCAGCCGCGGUAAUACGGAGGGUGCGAGCGUUAAUCGGAAUUACUGGGCGUAAAGCGCGCGUAGGUGGCUUGAUAAGCCGGUUGUGAAAGCCCCGGGCUCAACCUGGGAACGGCAUCCGGAACUGUCAAGCUAGAGUGCAGGAGAGGAAGGUAGAAUUCCCGGUGUAGCGGUGAAAUGCGUAGAGAUCGGGAGGAAUACCAGUGGCGAAGGCGGCCUUCUGGACUGACACUGACACUGAGGUGCGAAAGCGUGGGUAGCAAUCAGGAUUAGAUACCCUAGUAGUC
rnacentral:rRNA from 1 species